GAUGAACGCUGGCGGCGUGCCUAAUACAUGCAAGUCGAGCGAACAGAUAAGGAGCUUGCUCCUUUGAAGUUAGCGGCGGACGGGUGAGUAACACGUGGGUAACCUACCUAUAAGACUGGGAUAACUUCGGGAAACCGGAGCUAAUACCGGAUAACAUUUAGAACCGCAUGGUUCUAAAGUGAAAGAUGGUUUUGCUAUCACUUAUAGAUGGACCCGCGCCGUAUUAGCUAGUUGGUAAGGUAACGGCUUACCAAGGCGACGAUACGUAGCCGACCUGAGAGGGUGAUCGGCCACACUGGAACUGAGACACGGUCCAGACUCCUACGGGAGGCAGCAGUAGGGAAUCUUCCGCAAUGGGCGAAAGCCUGACGGAGCAACGCCGCGUGAGUGAUGAAGGGUUUCGGAUCGUAAAACUCUGCUAUUAGGGAAGAACAAAUGUGUAAGUAACUGUGCACAUCUUGACGGUACCUAAUCAGAAAGCCACGGCUAACUACGUG
rnacentral:rRNA from 1 species